rnacentral:rRNA from 1 species
GACGAACGCUGGCGGCGUGCUUAACACAUGCAAGUCGAACGGAAAGGCCCUGCGUUUGUGGGUUGCUCGAGUGGCGAACGGGUGAGUAACACGUGAGUAACCUGCCCUUGACUUUGGGAUAACUUCAGGAAACUGGGGCUAAUACCGGAUAGGAGCUCCUGCUGCAUGGUGGGGGUUGGAAAGUUUCGGCGGUUGGGGAUGGACUCGCGGCUUAUCAGCUUGUUGGUGGGGUAGUGGCUGACCAAGGCUUUGACGGGUAGCCGGCCUGAGAGGGUGACCGGCCCCACUGGCACUGAGAUACGGCCCCGACUCCUCCCUGAGGAAUCAGUGGGGCAUAUUGCACAAUGGGACGUGUCCUGCUGCAGCACCGCCGCGUGCGGGAUGCCGGCCUUCGGGUUGUAAACCGCUUUCGCCUGUGACGAAGCGUCAGUCACGGUCAUGGGUAAAGAAGCAACGGCUAACUACGUG